rnacentral:rRNA from 1 species
UACAGAGGUCUCAAGCGUUGUUCGGAUUCACUGGGCGUAAAGGGUGCGCAGGCGGCCAAGUGUGUGAGGCGUGAAAGCCCGGGGCUUAACCCCGGAAUUGCACCUCAAACUACAUGGCUAGAGCAUUGGAGAGGGUAGCGGAAUUCACGGUGUAGCAGUGAAAUGCGUAGAUAUCGUGAGGAACACCAGAGGCGAAGGCGGCUACCUGGACAAUUGCUGACGCUCAGGCACGAAAGCGUGGGGAGCAAAAGGG